UAGCCUAGUGAUUAAGGCUAUGGAUUGCCAAUCCGGAGAUGGCGGGUUCGAUUCCCGU
rnacentral:tRNA from 1 species